AGGGGCAGCAUGAACUUAGCUUGCUGAGUUUGAUGGCGACCGGCGCACGGGUGAGUAACACGUAUCCAACCUGCCGAUGACUCGGGGAUAGCCUUUCGAAAGAAAGAUUAAUACCCGAUGGCAUAGUUCUUCCGCAUGGUAGAACUAUUAAAGAAUUUCGGUCAUCGAUGGGGAUGCGUUCCAUUAGAUAGUAGGCGGGGUAACGGCCCACCUAGUCUUCGAUGGAUAGGGGUUCUGAGAGGAAGGUCCCCACAUUGGUACUGAGACACGGACCAAACUCC
rnacentral:rRNA from 1 species